CUACAAACGUCUUGUGGAUGGUGCUGGAAAUUAUGCUUUUGGAGUUGAUGAAGCUGCAAUAUCAGUGACUGCAUUGUCUUGUGUGAGAGACCGGACAGGGGCCGCUGACGUCACACCUGCCAUCAACACCGGGAUCCAGUAUAUACUGUCGAAUAUCAAGAAGGAUGGUUCAUUUGGCAACCAAUACACUACUGGACUGGCAGUUCAGGCUCUGUAUGCAGAUGAUAAAAGCAGUCGAAAUCAGAUCAAGGA